rnacentral:rRNA from 1 species
CCUACGGGAGGCAGCAGUGAGGAAUAUUGGUCAAUGGCCGGAAGGCUGAACCAGCCAUGCCGCGUGAAGGUCAGUGCCCUAUGGGCGUUAAACUUCUUUUGUGCGGGAGCAAUAAUGGUCACGUGUGGCCAGACGAGAGUACCGUACGCAUAAGCAUCGGCUAACUCCGUGCCAGCAGCCGCGGUAAUACGGGGGAUGCAAGCGUUAGCCGGAUUUUUUGGGGUUAAAGGGUGAGUAGGCGGUGAGGUAAGUCAGCGGGGCAAGGCCCCCGCUCAACGGGGUGAAGUGCCAUUGAUACUGGCUUGCUGGAGUGCGGAUGCCGUGGGAGGAAUGUGUGGUGUAGCGGUGAAAUGCAUAGAUAUCACACAGAACACCGAUUGCGAAGGCAGCUCACGAAUCCGCGAUUGACGCUGAGGCACGAAAGCGUGGGUAUCAAACAGGAUUAGAUACCCGUGUAGUC